rnacentral:lncRNA from 1 species
GGUGUUGGUGGCAGCUGCAGGGCAGGCUAGGGGUCGAAUUGGAGCUACAGCUGCCAGCCUGUGUCACAGCCACAGCAACGCCAGAUUUGAGCUGUGUCUGUGGCCUACACCACAGCUCCUGGCAACACCGGAUCCUUAACCCUCUGAGCAAGGCCAGGAAUGGAACCCAAAACCUCAUGGUUCCUAGUCGAAUUUGUUUCUGCUGCACCACAACAGGAACUCCACUGACUGCAUUUUUAAAAUUUUUCUCCACCCAGCCCCCAAGGAAUUAGCUGCUAAGGGAUCUAAGGUAUUACCUCCCCAGAGAUCUUUGAAAUUUAGUUUAAGAUUCUGAAAAGUCACAUCCACUAAAUCUGGUACUUACUGAGUAUUACUUCUAUAUCAAGCACUUUUAUAACAUUGUAUAGUAUAUUCCACAACAACCCUUCAGGCAAAAUACUCUCCCCAUUGUACAGAUGGGAAAAUGAAGACCUGGAAAGUUAACCAACUGGGAGUCAUUCAGAAAAUAUCUAUGGAAUUCCUGUUCUUAGUGAGACACUGUGCUGGAAAAGAGCUGUUUCUGUUGUGGUCCUAAAAGUUCUCAGUCUAGCCAGGAGAUACUCAUACAUAAGACUGUAACUGGCUGUGCUUUUUUUUUUUUUUUUUUUUUUUUUCCUUUGAGGGUUCAUUGGGAGCACUUAGGACUACCUGAGAAUGUUGGUGAAGGCUUCACAUGGGAGGCCUUGUUUGAGCUGAAAUAUGGGGAAAUUUUGAGGUGUGGGGUAUUGGAAUGCUUGGUUCAAAUUCCAGGCAGCAUUACUAUCUAACAUGACAGUAUGAGGGAGUAAGUUUUUUUUGAGAAGCAACCAGUAAUUUGUUACAACCGGAGUAUGGGCAAGAAUAGCUGGAGAUUAGGCUGGAUAAUAGUAGUGAUACCAAUAGUAAUUAAUAUUUAUCAAUUGUACCAUGUGCAAAGCAUUGUACAUGGUCUCAUUUAAUUCUGAUGAAUAGAUGCUGUUCUUAUCCUAGCUCUACAGAUAGUGAAACUGAGUUACCCCAGAUUGGUUAAAUGAUUUGCCUAGGAUCACAGCCGGUUAGUGACACACAGUUAAGAAAUGAUUUGCCCAGGGUAAUAUAGAUAGCUACAGACAUACCCAGCAUAUGAACCAAGCAGUCUGGCUCCAGAGACUGUCUUCUCUUUUUUUUUUUUUUUUUUUUUUUUUUGUCUUUUUGCUAUUUCUUGGGCCACUCUCGUGGCAUAUGGAGGUUCCCAGGCUAGGGGUCCAAUCAGAGCUGUAGCCGCCAGUCUACGCCAGAGCCACAGCAACUCGGGACCCCAGCCGAGUCUGCAGCCUACACCACAGCUCAGGCAACUCCAGAUCGUCAACCCCCUGAGCAAGGCCAGGGUUCGAACCCGCAACCUCAUGGUUCCUAGUUGGAUUCAUUAACCACUGUGCCACGACGGGAGCUCCCAGAGACUGUCUCUUAAUCACUUGCUAUGAUGCAGGAUCAGACCAUGAAAGGACUUCUGAAGGAGCUGAAAUUUUAUUAUGCGGAUCAGUGGUUUUUUUUUUUUUUUUAAAAAAACCCAAUCCACAGAAAUACAUUUUUUAUUAUGACUGAGCAUGUGCAUGUGUGUAUAAAACUAUGAAAAGUCUCAUGAACAAUAUUUUUACUUUGUAUGAGGCAUGCAUAGUUUCUCUUCUGUUUUCUUAAGGAAAUACUGGUUGGGACCCACUUAAAUUGAUUCUACAAUUUAAGCCACAGUUUGGAAAAAUACUGCUUGUCAGUGUGUGAGUGUUGGAAGAAUUUCAAGUAGGGGAAUUGCAUGGUUAGGUUUGUGCUUUUAGAUAGGUCACACUGGCAGCAGUAUGAAGGCUUCAUUGGAGAGAAUGGUACCAGGAAGACAGACACCAGUGUAGAACAUCUUAAUGGACCAGGCAAAAGAUGCCUGAACUGGGACAGUACAUUGAGGAUAGAGAAAAGGGACUAGAGAGAAGGAAGAUUAGGAAGUAGAGUUGAUAGAACUGGGCAAUUGAAUGUGGACUAUCACUCAGCUAGUACCAGGUAGAAAGGCAGUUUAAGUCAAAACUAUAUUAUUCAGGCACUGAAAUUUUACUUCUUGACCUUUUUUAUGUGUUUUUUUUUGUAGUCAUGUUAAAUAUACUUUGUUGUUUUAUCUACACCUCUACUUUUGUAUUUAAAAAAAAAAAAAACUGGUUUAGGAGUUCUCAUUGCGGGUUCAGCGGGUUAAGGACCUGACAUAUUGUUAGUGAGGAUGUGGGUUUGAUCCCUGGCUUUGUGCAGUGGGUUAAAGAUCUGGCAUUGCUGCAAGCUAUGGUAUAGGUGGCUUGGAUCCGGUGUUGCCAUGGCUGUGGCAUAGGCCAGUGGCUGUAGCUCUGAUUUGACCCCUGGUCUGGAAACUUCCAUAUGUUUUGGUGUGGCCCUAAAAAAAAAAAGAAGAAACCUUGUUUUAUUAUUAUUAUUAUUAUUUGCUUUUUAGGGCCACAUCUGUGGCAUGUGGAGUUUCCCAGGCUAGAGGCUGAAUUAGAGCGGCGGCUGUCAGCCAACACCAUAGCCACAGAAGGCAGGAUCUGAGCCACAUCUGUGACCUACAUCACAGCUCAUGGCAACUCUGGAUCCUUAACCCACUGAGUGAGGCAAGGGAUUGAACUCACCUCCUCAUGGGUACUAGUCGGGUUCGAUACUGCUGAGCCAUGAUGGAAACUCCUAAUUAUUUUUAAACAAUUAAAACAUCUACAUAUCAAAUCAGAUACCCACCUUACCCUCUUAUUUCUGACUUCCCACCCCUAUUCCAUCUACUAUUAUCUGGAAGAUUUGCAUAGCAGUAUGAAAAAUUCACACUUCUGUUGUGGCUCAGUGGCUAAUGAACCCAGUUAGGAUCCAUGAGAACGCAGGUUCGAUCCUUGGCCUUACUCAGUGGAUUAGGGUUCUGGCGUUGCCACUGAGCUAUGGUUUAGGUUGCAGACUUGGCUUGGAUCCUGAGUUGCUGUGGCUGUGGUGUAGGCCAGUGGCUAUAGCUCCGAUUCGGCCCCUAGCUUGGAAACUUCCAUAUGCCAUGGGUAUGGCGCUAAAAAGGCAAAAAAAAAAAAAUUCAAAUAGCAUGAUGAGCACUCAGCAAAUCUCUUUUGAAAUAAUAUAUUCCCUGUAUUAUACUGUCCCAAAGCAGAAACUCUUAAUGUUAUAGUCAUUUAUUAGAAGAAUACUUUUGAAUAAUUUUCUUGGACUUUGUUCUCUUUAACUUUCCAUUUUUGUAAUAUUUGAUUCCCAUUAGGGAAUAUUAAGCAUUGUGUGUAUGAUACUCUUACCUUAAAAAAAAAAAAAAAACAAAAAAA